AUUAAGGACAUUUGACCAUCUCGUAUUGCGCUGAACCCCAUAGGUGUUUGUCAUAGCAAUAGAAGCAAGGGCAAGUAGGAUGGUGAAACAAUCCAUUAUGUGGGUAAAGCCCAUAUGGAUCAGGAUUGUUUUCAACAUAAUGUUUAGAAAAGUAUGGAAGCUACGGUUGCUCGUAUUGGUAGGAAAGGGAUGAGGAGCUCCACUGUGCAUGCGGGACCCAAAAGGAUCACCAUAUCUAGGAUAAUUGUUUGAAAUAGCACAUAACAUUGUGGAUUUUCUGUAUAAAAUGUGGAGUUUAUGUUGAGAGUGUAGUGUGUGAGGAUAUUAUUGGAAGUAAUGUGGGGAGUAUUAAGAUAAAUUUUAAUUGAAAAAAACAAAUAUGAGGUGUAUUAAGUAUGUGGGGCGUAUUCAACAAUAUAUGGGGUGUUAAUAAAACAACCCAAAGAAAAUAAAAUAGACUAAAAAAUAAAAAAUCUUUCAAUUCUCAAAUAAGAGAAGAAUAUAAUAGAUCAUACUUUCAUAUAAUAUCUUAAUUGAAUCAUAUGAAACGAUCAAUAAAUUCAGUUUCAUUUGAGAGUUUGUGAGGACCAACUCUACCUCAAUCAUAGAAUUUUAUUAAGAGAUGAUUAGAUUGGGCUGCUUAAAUUUUACAUUGUUUUGAUUAAUAUAUUUCUGCAAAUUAAAAUUCUACAUAUUGAAUUCUGAAUUUAUCCUCCUCUAUGGGAGUUUUUCUCUUUCUUUUUUCCUGGCAUGGCCUUUUAUUCAGGGAUAUUUAUUUUAAGGAUGACUUUGGAUGCGAUCCUUAUUGAUCAACGUUAUUUGAUUGAAACUUUGUUGGUUUUCGGUUUUUGAUUGAAAUCCCUAAAAUUAAUGCAAUAAUGCAUUUUCAUGUAGGUUAUUAUAAUAUUUAAAUUAAAAUUUGAUAUUUGUGGUUAUUUAUAUUAAUGAGAUUUUAAAUAAAAUUCAUAAUUUAUUGAAAAUAUUGAAAGAAAUUAUACCUAAAUAAAACCCAUGAUUUGUCAUUACUUAUAUUAAUGACAAUUUACAUACAAAAAAUUGGUAAUUUUUAUACGAUGCAUUUUACAUACAAAAAGUUAUACAACAAAAAGGUCAUACGUUUUAUAUAAUGGAUAGAUUUCAUAUAAAAAAAAAAGAAACAAUGGGUACAUUUUACACAAAAGAGAUGGUACUUACGAAAAAAAAAAUGGGUACAUUUUACAUAUAACAAAGUGAUACAUUUUUAAAGACAAAUGGGUGCAUUAUUAAUAAAUCAUGGGUACAAAUAAAAAGGUCAAAAAAAUAUGAGUACAAAUAAAAGUUUGGAAAAUAUGGACACAAAAAGAAAUUAAUACAUGGGUACAAACUAAAACUGAAUAGAAAAUUGGCACAAUUAAAAAAUAAAAAAAAGGGUUGCAAAUUAAAAUGGGUACAAACUAAAAAUAAAAAUGCAUAAUACAAAAUUUAGCCAUAAAUAUAAAUAUAUCAAAUGUAACGUUUCUAACACUAAAUGAAUAAUUUAAAAAUAAAAUUUAAUUAUCUUGGGAUGUAAAAUAUUUUAUUAUUGAAAUAAUUAAUGAUGUUUAUUAAAACCAAUGGACCUUGAUUAAAAUUUGAAAAGAAAUAAGAUUUCAAUCAAUGGAGUUGAAAAAAAGAGGAAUGAGAACUUAAUUUUUUUUUUUUUUACUUAUUAGUUAUGUUUAUCCAGAUUCAUUCUCACUUGUAAAAUUUGGAUGGGCUCUUCCAUUUGAAUUAGUGGUUGUUUUCAUAAAAUUUAUUUUCUUCACAUUUGAAUAGUAAUUCACUUUUGAGAUAUUUUAGGUUUCUUGUUGCUUGAUGUUUUCGAUGUUUUCUGUUUUUUUCCUUGUUCUCUAACCGAUGCUUCUGAUUUUGGGGCAUGAUGCUUGGUGAGCAACCCUAGUUUGGUAUGGUUAAAUGGUAGCACAACAAAUGAGAGUGUCACCGGCCACAUUAGCUAGUCAAACAGAAGUUUGGAGGAGGCAAUAUCUUCAAAUAUACCAAAUAAGAACCACCUUGCUCAAGAGGCAUGUUUCUACAAAGGACGGAGAACACAUUUGGACAGUUUAAAACGUACCAAAUCGAAAAUAUGUCUCACAAUAUUAUUAAUUUACGUACCAAAUGACUGGUAUGAAUAAAUUAAUAAAUAAUUAACAUUACAUAAUAAAUGUACCAAAAUAUUGAUAUGUACACACCAACUACACAAAAAAAAGGUACCAACCAUUAUUAAUAAUAAUCAGUCACUCAACCAAGUUGAUAAAACAAAGAAUGAUAAUUCUAUUUUCAAACUUGAUCAAGCCAAACGUACCCAACCAAAAUAAGUUAUACAAAAUCACAUGGAAACUAACCCAAAAAUUUCUAUUUAACUUUGACGGAGGUACAAUACAAACUUCAAUUGACAUGAUCCGUACGUUUAAUUAUACGUGGAAUGUGUAGUUAUUACCAAACUUCAUUUGACAGGAUCGGUUUUGUUCAAAAACAAAAACAAAAAUUGACAGGAUCGAUACUUUUAGUUAUGCCUUCAAAUGUACCAAAGCAUUUGAGAUAAAAUGCACCCAAGAAUCCAAUUAAUAAGAAAUAGAUACGUUAGAGGCUACCAUUUAAAACGUUUGUUGGAAGGUAUUUGGUAUGUUACGUUUGUUGAAAGUUAUUAAAUACGUUUUAAAUUUUUUAUUGUUAAUUUUUCAAAAGGGAAGUGUGAGUGGCACUUCAAAAAUCUUAUUUUACACUCCUGUUGACCCUAGAAACUACCAAGCCUACGUGGCGCGCAUGCCGAGUAAUCUAUAAGCUAACUACGUCCUUCGGUGAAUGCGGGGCGUGCCAACUCGUCGGCCGAGCUCGGCCGAUGAGUAAAUUUUGUUGAUGUUGCAUUGGGUGUGCGGCUGACUUCUGCGUCUUGCGUUUGCGGCCGAGAAAGGAACACGUCUCGGCCUCUUGGGCUCUCGAACCUGAAGACAAGGUUACUAUUCUUACGAAGUUCAAUAUCAAAUUCGGCUUUCAAUGUGCCGAAUGUAAUAACUGUAACACCUCACUUUGCCGAGAAGGCUGAUGAGAUGACCUCGACCAAUAAGGAUUUAGAAACCCUUCUCGACCGAGACUUGGAUAGGUAAUCAACUGUUCUCGCCGCAGUGCUGUUGAUGCCAACGGAAGAUACUGCGAGAGCGACUAAUUCUACGGUGACAGGGCUAUCUAUGCCGACUUAAGAUAUCACCGGUUGCUUCCACAGUGCUGUUGAUGCCAACGGAAGAUGUGUCAGCGAAAAAGAAAAAGGAAAAAGAUCUCAAGUUGUUGAGAGUUUGCGCAGGGCAAUUUUGUAUUGAUUUGCAGAAGGCCUAUCUGACGCACAGCUUCCCCUAUUUAUAGCAUUGGAUCUUGAAUCCGAGUUAAAAUCCUACUCGGACUAGGUCUUCCUCUCCGGAUCAACACCACCUCGACCAGUCUUAUCUUUACUAGGAUUGUGACCCUAGUCCUUAACUGAGCCGGAUUCGCUUUCUGGGCUACUGAUCCCGCAGAGACUCCCUAUUGUACUAGGACUCGACUUGCGUUAUGAUCUAACCGACCUAGGCUUGGAAGCCCACGAGCUGAACGAUCCAUGGCCCUCUCGUUGCACGGCCUCCCAGGCCGAGAAUGAUCCUACCCUCGGCCCAAACUAUUAUUUUGGGCCCAAACAUUGCCCCCUCGCUUUUGAGGUCCUCGGCCUGAAUUCCUCGGUCAAGUUUCGGCCUUGAAGAAGCGAAUCUACCACUCAGAACCCUAGUGCCCGAGUUCCAAGGCGCAUUUAUUGAACAUGAUUGCACGAUCUUGAUCCUGCUAACCAAACUCGCCACGUGGCGUCCUCCAACACGGCCAAUCCCCAAUAAUGACGUCUAAGGCGAGCGGCUGCCUGAACCGUCCUGCCAUCAUGAUCUUAUGGCUGAACUUAACCACUACCUCAAUCCGCGAGCCACUACCUCCAUCUGUGAGUCACUUGUCAUCGUGCAGGCGUCGAAACGUCUUCCGCCAUUAAUUUCGCCGUUACACGCAAUCGUGCGCCCCUAAAACCUGAGACCUUCGGUCUUCUCAACUGCAUUUCCCAAAUGUUCAUCAUGAUCAGCAAUUCCUUCGGUCGAUUUUGCCCUCUGUUUUGAAUUUCAAACGAUUGCCCUUCCUGCCAAAAUCCUAUAAAUACUGAAAUCCCUCAUUCAUACUUUACGCUUCCAAAAUCACUCCGAAAUUUCUUGCCCUUGUUCUCCAACACAUUUUUCUUCCCAGGUCUUCGUCUUCAAAUCCCCCAACCCAGAAAACUUUUUACGCCGUGCUUCCUUCCUACAAUGGCGUCCUUCAUCUCUAAGCUUUCCAGGGAAUGUGACCAGCAUCAGAAAAUUCUUGAUCGGAGCUCGAUCAAAACCAUACGGUUUGAAAGUGACAUGAGCCCUUCCCACCAAAUCUUGGGUCCUAUUUUCAAGGCGGCAGUACCGUCGACCAUUACUGGCCUUCUCCAGGAGCACUGCCUAACACCCUUGCUCCAAGGGUUUGAAUGGUCGAGAUGGGAUGUGGCGAAACCCCAAGGCUCCUGGCCCUCGACGACCACAACUUGGGCAGCCUGGGUUGUUCGAAUGGAAAGGCUCUUCGGCGAGCAAUGGAAGGCCAUUGGCAUCUACGACGCCAUCUUCCUCUCGUCAAUGGAUGUCGUUCCCGACAAGGAGCUUCUUCUAAUCGCCUUGUGCUUCUGGUGCUCGGCCACCAACACCAUGGUUCUUCCUCUUGGUCUCAUCGGCCCCACCAUUCUUGAUGUCACCGCCAUUUUGGGCACUUCGGCAACUGGGAUCCCCAUUGAUGCGGCCCUCUCUGGGUACCCGUCGAAUAUUGACCUGAAGACGCUUUUUGAUCGACGGGCUUUCGAGACGUUGAACCAUGAAGGUCAAAUCCCGUCGAAAGAAGACAUUCAGAAGCUCCACAAGAACUUCUUCAAUUACAAUACUCUCUAUCUCCAUUUCGCCGGCCGAGGAGAAGAAGACCUGCGAUAAGGAGAACAUGAAGCUUUCCUCUUCUAUUGGUACAACAAGUACAUUUGUUGUACCAAGUCGAACAAAUGCUUGGUCGAGAACAUGCCGGUAGCCGAGGCCCUGGCUAGUGGUCACGUCCUGUCACUGAGCUCCAACAUUCUCGCCCAUCUCUUCCGCUGCCUGGCCGAGGUGACCCUUCACAAGAUCGACCCACACCAGAAUGGUCCCCUCUGGGUCUUCCAACUCUGGUUACAAGUUUAUUUCGCCUCCCUUCGGCCGGCCAUAGCCGAUUUCUCGCCAACGGAGGUGCUUGGACCUCAGCUGGCCUCCCGACCGACACCCCCUCGCCAAGCCGAAGAGGUAUUUAGGUACCUCUUCGCCCUUGAUGACCUUUCCAACGACGAAUUCCUGAUAUGUCGUCGUCGGGACUAUCCUUCCUCCGUCAGGCUACCUACAUCCAUGUGGGGCGCGGUCGAAGAUGCCGACCUUCAUCAGUCCUGGGGGUCGUUCAUGCUUACUCGCGACCUUCCUCUCGGCUGCGAUGGGAAACGAGCGGGUUGGGAAGUAUACCAUCCUAACUUCCUUGCUCGACAGCUCGGCUAUCUCCAAGGCUGCCUGGUCCCCCUACUCUCCUCCCGGACCGUCCUAAGCCGUGGACAUGAACCCCGUUCCUCGGAGAAGGAAUGCAACACCGCCGCGAGGGAGUUCUAAGAGCAAUGCCAAAAAUUCCGCCUUUGACCGGCCACCCCAGAAACCCUUUGCACUGACACCUUCGGUGACUGGUGGGAAGAGUAUACCCAGGAGUUCUUUGGUGCUCCAGUCGAAGGUGUGCUGAACAAACUCUUCGGUGAACGGCCUAAGAAGGCCUCGGCCCCCCAAGCUCAAGGUAACUGUUCAUUUCUUCCCCGGUUUCUUCAACUUUGCAUAUUGAUUUGCCUUGCUGAAUUGCUUUUAUUUUCUCAGGUAGUCGGCCAUUGAGGAAGGUGGAGGUAGCUGCUGUGGCUACGGCCGAGAAAAAAUCGAUCGUGGCUAAGAAGGCUACGAUUGCUAGUCGGGCCGUGCUGAACAAACGGCCUUGCCAAGAGGCCGAGCCGGCUGUCGAACUUCUGCCGCCUGCCAAGCGGGUAAAGAAGUUGGCAAAGAAAGGCGCACGGGAGAUCCACGUCAUCUCCAGUCAAACUACGGGGGCGACGACUCCCAGUGUUUCCCCUUCUCUUGCCGUCGGCCAACCCUUGGUAGAGAAACAGCCAACUCCGGCCGCAGAGAUAGUUCAAGCGCGGCCUGUUUCUGGGGCCGGUACACCAGUUGUGCCCCCCUCUGUCGAGGAGGCACCUAUUCUGAAAAAGGCGGUCUUUGCGACCGAGGCAACUUCCCUUGAAAAUCCAAAGCCCUCGGUCUUUGUUCUGGAAGAGAGUGAGGGGAGCGACGAGGUCCCGCUGGUAGAUCGUCCUCAUACUCGCCGACAACCUCCUCCAAUGUCCGAGAUGGCGGUUCAAGCCGGCCCCUCCACGGCUGAUCGAGGCAAGCGUCCGGUCAAGGAACCAACAGCGGUGGCCGAACCCCCCGCUCCUUCUUAAGACCAGGAUGUCCUUCCCUCGUCCGAAGCAGCUGUCCCGGUCGGCCCCUCCACAGCCAACCGUGGCAAACGACCGGUCGAGGAACCAGAGGCAACAGCGGAAACGCCCGUUCAUCCUCAAGACCAGGGCUUCCACAUUCCUCCGCAGGAGGUUACUUCGGCCUUCGUAAGUACCCUCUACCGUUUUUCCUUGAUUGCUUUUCUGCUUUAGAAUUCUAAACGAGGAAAAUACUAAAUGUCAGGUGCCUGUACACUCUUUUCACCGAAAAUUCUAUGCGCCGAAGGGCGUUAUCUAUAUCUCUUGGCCGCCUCAGUGGCCAUCGAACGUAGAUAACCUCCAUUGGCCGCGUGAACUGAGAAGCAAUCUAAGACACUAGGCUGGGCCAUUGAGUUCUUUGGGUUCGAGCAACGAUCCUGGAGACAUGGCCGAGGUCUCCUCUCGGCAGGUUAAAAAAAACGCAACCUUCUUGCUAUCCUUGUCAUGACUUCUUUUGAGCUUAACCUAAUUUAUAUGUGCAGGCUUCGUGGGAGGUCGAAUUUAAAGCCCUCAUCUCCAGCACAAUUACCGGGUCUGGUCCUUCGGCCCCCACGACUGAAGCUGCCGAUUCAACCGCUCUGUCUCAGUUGCGAGAAGUCUUGUCGCUUUCAGCGUCGUAAGUACUCAAGCGCAAUGGUCUUGAUCUGCUUGGCGCAUGUCUGAACGACCUCGGAGCUGACGGUCGUCUGAGCGGAGAUGCUAUCGUUCGGGCAUCGUCGGCCUUGGAGCGGGUUCGGGAGACAUUUAGUGUCUUCCAGAUCGCUCUAAAGGCCGAACAAGACCUGCAAGCUGCCACGGCCGUCCAAGACACUCUCCGUCCGAAAAUCGACACCCUAAAGGCAAAAGGAGAAGCAUUGGCCGAGCUUGACCGUCAAAUGGCGGAACUAGCGAAACGUAGGUCGGCCAUUGCCUUCGAUUUUGCUAAGGACUUCGAGUCGGGCGGAAAAGAUUGCCUGACCGAGUAUGCGGCGACCACAAAAUAGGUCGAGCGGUUGAAGCUGGAUAAGAAGAAUCGGCAAGCUAAGGUCAUCAUGGGCGAGGUGCGGUGGUUGGAGUUGAAGGCCCUGCUCGGCACUCUUCUACCCUCUUCCCCUUGAAUGUACUUGAAUGUAAACCGAUCGACUUGCUCAUUUUGUAUAUGCUUAUCAAUCUUAAUGAAAUGGUUUUCUAUUCCCGCAUUUCCCACGUGACCGGGUAGUAUUUUUUUAAAAACUUCCCGUUUAUUGGUAAUCUGUGAACCAAACCGGUCCGGUCUUUAAGAUGAUACGCCCCUUUUCCGUAUACUUUAUGUAUAACGAACGGUCCUUCCCAAUUUGGCGACCACUUGCCGAACCUAGGAUCUUUUAGUCCUACGGGUAACACCAUUUGCCAAACCAAUUCACCUUCACCGAAUGUUUUCCGUCGCACCUUUUGAUUAUAUGCUCGCUCGGCAAUCUGUUUUUGUGCCACCAGUAAGUUAUAAGCGUCAAGUCGCACUUCUUCCAAAUCUUCUAAUUCUUGUCUCAUGGACUGAUUAUAUUCGGCGCUAAACAAACUACUUUGUUCAAUCAAUUGCAACGAAUUUAUACUUAACUCGACUGGCAACAUUGCAUCGUGUCCGUAUGUUAAUGCGUAUGGGGUUGUUGCAGUCGCCGAUCGGGGCGACGUUCGGUAUGCCCAUAAUGCCUCAUUCAACUUGAAAUGCCACAUGUCAGGCCUUUAUUUUAUUAUUUUCGAGGAUGCCGAUCAACACUUUAUUACUUGCCUCGGCCUGCCCAUUUGCCUGUGGAUAAUACGGUGUGGACUGUUCCAGCCAAAUUUUCAAAUUUGCCGUGUACUCUUUAAACCUUUCGGUUGUGAAGAUUGUUCUAUUAUCGGUUAUGAUCGUUUUCGGUACGCCAAAUCGGGUCACAAUGUGUUCCUCCACGAAGUCGCAAACUUCUUUAGAUGUUAACUCGGCAUAUGAUUUUGCUUCGACCCACUUAGUAAAGUAAUCAGUUGCGACUAUUAUCCAUGCAUGCUUAGCAGCUCCAGAAGAUGGCGUGAUUUUGCCGAUUACGUCCAUGGCCCAUCCUCUAAACGGCCAUGGCUUAAUGACCGAAUGCAGUGAUUCGGCCGGGACCCUUUGUAUAGGCCCGUGGAUUUGGCACUGUACGCAUCCUCGUGCAAACUCGAUACAAUCCUUUAGUAUUCUCGGCCAAAAAUAGCCGUGCCGUUGAAGUAACCAUUGCAUUUUCCGUCCGGAUUGAUGAGCUCCGCAUACCCCUUCAUGGACUUCUGUAAUCGCCCGAGCACUCUCUUGGGGGCCGAGGCAUAGCAGUAACAAACCAUCUUCGCCUUUUCGGUAUAACUCGUUCUGGUACGUGACAUAGUUCGUGGCGUGAACUCGUGUCCUGCGACUAUGUUUCCCAUUAGGAUUAUCAAGGUACUGCAUAAUGGGUGUUCUCCAAUCAUCUGGUAUUACCUCGGCCGUACAAAUUUCUAUAGAAUCCUGCCGAUCCAACAUGGAAGGUAAGGACAUGACCCUGGUGCGUAUCACGUCGUCGCGUCGGAGGAUUUGCUGGUUAACCAAGGUCGGGUAUAACUGUCGUAACACCGGUAUCUUCCGGCCUAGCUUGCCCCCCAGGAGUUGUACGCCGGAGGCAAUUUGAGCCAAUUCGUUGCGUCGGUAUUAUGACACCGGGAAAUAUAUUUAAAUGUAAUACCGUCGAAGGAUUCGGCUAAAUAGCUGGCGACCAUGUUGUAAGGUGCCAGGGUACAACUCAUGCAACGAAAAGAACCAUUAAGUUGGUUAAUCACAAGUUCAGAGUCGCCGAGGACGAGGGCGCGGGUCGCUCGCAAGUCAUGAAGGAUUCCAAGGCCGACGAUUAGGGCUUCGUAUUCAGCCUGAUUGUUGGUGCAUUCGAAAUCUAACUUAAGCGAAAAUAACCAGCGAUCGUGGUUUGGGGAUUGAAUGACAAUUCCCACGCCCGCCGAAGAUGACGUACUGGAGCCGUCAAAGUACAUCGUCCAGUAGUUGUCGCGCGUCUGAACCAUGCCGAUUUCAACGUCGUUGCCCCCAAAACCGUAUGGGGAGGGAUGUUGAGCAAGGAAAUCAGCCAGUGCCUGGCCCUUGACAGCUUUCUGGGCUACGUACUGUAAGCUAAAUUCGGACAGUGCCAUUGUCCAUUUCCCAAUGCGGCCCUUUACGAUUGGUCGGGUGAGCAUGUAGCGGAUGACGUCGGUCUGAGCAAUGACUUGGGUGACCGAUGGGAGCAUAUAAUGCCGAAGCUUGGAAGCGGCGAAAAAUACGGCCAGGCACAGCUUCUCGACGGCGGGAUAAUUGAUCUCUGGUUGAUUGAGAUUGUGACUUAGAUAAAAAAUAGCCUGCUCUCGUCCGGCGUCGUUGUCUUGUGCGAGGAGGCAGCCGAUGGACUCUUCGGUCGCCGAGAUAUAGAGCUUAAGAGGCUUACCGCGCCGAGGAGGAACCAGGACAGGUGGUUGCGUGAGGGAGACCUUGAUUUAUGUAAACGUUGCCUGAUGCUUGUCAGUCCACUCAAACUUAUCUGAGUCCUUAAGCUUCAAAAGCGUCGAAAACGCUUUCAUUUUCCCUGUCGAGUUAGCUAUAAAUCGGCGGAGAAAAUUUAUCUUGCCGAGUAAGGACUGCAGUUGUUUCUUCGUCGUGGGGGGUGGAGCACUGAUGAUUGCACGUGCUUUAUUUUCAUCCACUUCAAUCCCACAGUGAUGUACCAGGAAACCGAGAAGGAGAUUACCGGCCGACACACCGAAAGCACAUUUGGUAGGAUUCAUUUUGAGGUUGUGUUGGCGCAUACGAAGGAAAGCAUGUCGGAGAUCAUCCAGAUGGGUCCGCCGUUGCUUGGAUUUAAUUACAACAUCGUCGAUAUAGACUUCGACGAUGGUUCCAAUUAAAUCAUGAAAUAUGGUGUUCAUUGCCCGUUGGUAUGUGGCGCCGGCAUUCUCAAGGCCGAAUGGCAUAACAACCCAUUCGUAAGUGCCGAGUGCCCCCGGGCAACGGAAAGCAGUUUUGUGUACAUCGGCUUCGGCAAUGAAAAUUUGGUUGUACCCAGCAUGUCCAUCCAUAAAGGAUAAGAUCGCAUGAUUCGCCGCGGCAUCGAUUAACAGAUCUGAAAUCGGCAUUGUAUACUCAUCUUUUGGAGUUGCCAAAUUCAGAUUUCUGAAAUCGAUACAGAUGCGCAGUGCACCAUUUUUCUUCAAGACAGGAACAAUAUUUGCCAACCAUUCCACAUAUCGAGCUGUCCGAAUGAACCCGGCUUUCAAAAGCCGAACCAGUUCGUCCUUGAUGCCGAGUUGUACUUCGGUCGAGAAUCGACGAGGUGGUUGACGGAAAGGUUUACACCCGGGCUUAAUACGUAAUUCAUGCUCGACAAGAGUACGAUCUAAGCCGGGCAUUUCAUGCUAGCUCCAAGCAAAACAAUCUUUGAACUCCGUAAGCAAUGCACGAAGCUCGUCCUUCAUUUGUUGAGGAAGUAAAGCACUAAUAAACAAAGGCCGUGGGUCAUCGGCCGUCCCAACAUUAAUCUCUUCCAGAGGGUCCUUAACUUGGGGCCGAUGAUCUUCGAGCUCGGCCGGAGUGGCUUGAAUUUUGUCAAGAGAUAAAACAGGACCAUUAUCUCAUUCGGCAAGGAACUCGACGAGGUUAACGCCCGAAUUCGGUUGUUUAGAUAUCGUAUACCAAUGGGCCAGCAGUCGUUCCAUAGUAGAUGAAACCGCGGCCCUACGGUCUUCCCGAUCGGUGUCAAACAUCGGCUUCGGGGAGGAAGUUGGCUAAUCCGAGUCUCAGUGGCCAUCGAACAGUGACCGGGUGAACAGUGCUUGGAUCAUACCGUGCUUGGAUCAUGGUAGCUUCGAAGGCUGGCUAUCGGCCGGGUGAACAGUGACCGAGUUGCCGUCCCAAAAGACAAGCACUUGAUACAAUGAGGAAGGAAUACAGCUGGUCUGAUGAAUCCAAUCUCGACCGAGCAAUGCAUUAUACUCGGUUUUGGAAUCAACCACGAAAAAUGCGGUCAUGUGAGUGCGACCGGCAAUAUUCACAGUUAACGGAAGUACGCCUUUGGUUUGGGAUUUGUCGCCGACGAAACUACUCAUUGUGAUCCCUGACGGAAUAAGUUCGUCAUUCGAGCGACGUAAGGCCUUCAUGAUAUUCAGAGGCAUGAUAUUGACGGUAGCUCCACAGUCGACAAAAACUUUAGAAACUGGAUAUCCCUCGAUGUGGGCCGUCACAUACAACGGCUUUAAAUGGUGAAGGUUGGCUGGUGAUGAACGAGGAAACAAUUCAACCAAAACGGCCUUUAGACUAUCAUCUUUUGUUGUCGACUCACAUUCAACGACAGAUACAAAAUCAACAUGGCCGGCUUCUUCGGCGACUACAUCACCAUCGAGGAAAUUCGGUUGAGCCGUGCUUGAUUGAAAAUCAGCGGGUAACACAUGAACCAUACUGAUUUCCAUGUUAUCCAGGACUGACGGGCCCAUCGGGUUAGGAUCUUCCUCGCUAGCCUCAUUUCUCGGCUGGUCGGCAACUGCGAACUCCGUUGUUGUCAAAGUUGGACAACGAGACUCUUCGAUUCCUUCUCCGAUGGUUUGAUCCUGCGGUGCUGCUUCGGCAACUUGUUGGUUCUGCGUGACUGCCUCAGGUGAGGUUGAUAUCGACAGUGUGCUUGGGGUCAGAACCUGGACCUGUUCCUGGUAGUGUAACCGGGCAUCCCUAAUGUCGAGAUAAGCAUCCAAACGCGCAACACGUGCUAUUUCAUCGGUCAUAAGGCCGAAGAGCAAAACAGCCGAAAAUACUUCGAAGUGAUAUCGUAAAUACUGAAGGUCCUCCAUUGAGAAAGGAAGGUCGGCUGCAUCGAUAUCAGUGUAUGGGUCGACUUCAAAUCCAAGGACACGAGCUUUUCGUAUGUGCUGGAACCUUGCUUUCAAUCCUGGGUCCGAGGUUUUCUGGAUGAUUCGCUCGGCAUCAGGACAAGUCAGGACUAGAUCAAUGGUGUCCUAGCAUGCCUUCGACAAACCAUACAGAUCGUUGGCCGAAUGUUUCUUAUGAAAUUCGCGCAUAUAUUCCAAAGACUCCCCAAGGAACGGGGGAUGCAAAUUCCGUCGAAUUUUGAUCAAAGGUUCUUGUAUAGCCGGCGGGGCUAAUUUGCUUUCGACCUCUUGCCUGAAAUGUUCAAGGCGUGCUUUCAUCUCCCCUGGUCGAAGAAGAAGUUUGAUCCGUUUAUCAGCCUCUUCAAACGUGGUUUCGACAUCUUGAUCGACCAGCUGUUUCCCUUGAGCCAACUCUGUCAUAAUGGCUAGAGGUGGUCGUUCAUCAUCAGUAGCAAUUGUGUCCUUCGGCCUCCAUUUAGGGACCGAAGUUUCUUGGGCUGCCUGUCAGCGGGCCAUGCAAUCUAUCCUUUGGUGCCGGCGUUUCUGGGAUUUGGACAGUACGGUGUAGACGCCUUUCGAAGAAUGAUACGUAUACCAACGUUGAUCUUUAGGCUUAGGAGAUUUGAAGGUUUUUUGGCUCCGCGAUGAUUCCGAACUGCUAGAAUUACGUUUAUAGUAGUCAUCGUCAUAGAAUGAAGCAUCAAAAUCGAGGCGCCGCCUGACUGAGGGUGUUUCUUCCAUCCGCACUUUAGGACUGAGCCUAUCAAAAACCCCUUGAUGUUGGCCUACGUUGGCUACCUUUUGCCGGGUUGCGGCCAUAGGUCGUUCUGUUAUAAGCGAAGAGGGCUUCUCCUCUGGCUCACUGUCGACUUUUGCCUUACAUUUACUGCACAAAACCGUUGUCCCACUGUCUUCAUCGGUGCUAUAAUCCAUCAUAGGUUUGACAAUAGCGGGUCAUGUUAAAGCUGUAGGUGGUUUGUUUGAAUGAAAAUCGGCCAUGAACCGUGGUCGAGAAUUCUGAUUCAGCAAGCGUUGCGUCGCAACAACUUCGGCCUUUCCUUUCCCUUUGUCCUUAGGUAGGCACGCAUCGACCAUAUUUACUGUUGCCGUGGGGAACGGGUCAGUAUCAACACUCAUCUUCUUCUCUGGAAAUUUCAGUUUGCCAUUAUCAAUCCAGCUUUGGAUGUUGUCGCGAAACACUACGCAAUUGUUUGUCGUAUGUUUGCUUGAAUUGUGGUAUUUGCAAUAUACCUUUCCUUUAAGCUCUUCGGCCUUGGGAAUGUUGUGACCAGGCCGAAGCUUGAUGAUUCUUGCUGAUAACAGUUGGUCAAAAAUUGCAUCAGCCUUGGUAAUAUUAAAAGUAUAAACUUUUGACGGUUUCAAUGUUCCUUCAGUGGCCGAGCGGCUUUUGACUUCUCUAGAGUCGACUUGAGUUAAUGUCUUGCAAACGUAUGGCUUAUCUAUCACUAUCUCAGCGGCAUCCACACUAACGCAUUCAUCCUCGGUUGAUGCAUAACUGACAGUAGGAUUCUUGUAAAUCGUCACCCGAGUUGGAGCUUUCGAAACCUUUUCCUCGCGGAGCAAAUAAUCAUAUUGUUCGACAUGUUGAGCUAAUUCGUACAUAUCCCGAAAGUUUGCCCCCAAAAAUUUCUUUUUGUACUCAACGUCGAGGCCGUUCAAAGCAAGCUUGACAAAUUCAACUUCAGGUAAAGGCACUCGGCACCAAUUCCUGGCUGAUUUGAACCUAGUAAGAUAAUCCAUGGGUGACUCAUUAGAUGCUUGAGCCAUCCUUGCUAAUGAAGAAACUGACAUCUCCAUCCCUGGCCGAUAAAACUGCUCGUGGAAUUUCUCGACCAACUCCUCCCAGUUUUGGACGGAAUUAGGAGGGAGAUUGAUAUACCAGGCAAAUGCUGAUCCGGUCAAUGAGAAAUUGAACACCCGUAACUUAUGGAAAUCACUAUUAACAUCCCCGCAUUGCGGUGAAACGAGCCACAUGCUCCAACAAAGACAGGGAUGAUUCACCGGUAAAAAGGCUGAAAUCUGGGAUCUUGAAACCCUUCGGGUAUCCGAAUGUUUCCACGUAAGCUGGGUACGGAUGAAUAAACUUAGGAAACUUCGGCCCUUUCUUCAUGGCCGAGUCGAUCAUCCGCUGAACUUCGAUCAUAUCCACAGGUGUUGCUUCGACCCUCUGGUCGGUUCCGUCUGACCUACUAUUCGACCCUCCUCCUUUUUCCAAGUCAAUUGGUUUGAGCCGAGCAGGAAUAGGCUCGGUCGGUACAAUUGGUAACGGAUUGUUUCCUGGUGGUAAGUGCUGAAGAAGAUCGAAAGGCCUGCUGUCACUGACUUUACUAACCAGCAUUUCGAGCAAUAUGGUUUGUCGCUCAUUGGAACUGAGUAUCACGUCAUGCAGCUUGUCAAUGCCUUGGCUAAACGUCUGCUCGACUGACCGAGACUGCUCGUCCAGUCGCUUUCGAAGAAACGACCUUGUUGGUGGGUCAGAUCCUUCACCACCAUCCUCGUCACACUCCUCUACUAUCCUUUCAUUGAGAACGCAGGUGUUUCUGUUAGGGAUUUCUAGACCGCGGAGCUGACCGCUGAGAUUAACUUCUCUAUCUUGGCGAUUUGCGCUUGUGAACUCAGGUGUCACGGCACUAAGGGGAUUCUGCGCCUGUGGUACACUUUGUCCUAUGCUCUGAUUUGGCAAAUCGGCUGUCAACUUUUCCAUAGCUGUUUUCUUUUUUACCGAUCGUGUUUCAAUUGGCAUGAACUUCGUAGUUUAGCACUGGGUCCCACUGGGCGUGCCAAAAUGUUGACCCUAGAAACUACCAAGCCUACAUGGCGCGCAGGCCGAGUAAUCUAUAAGCUAACUACGUCCUUCGGUGAAUGCGGGGCGUGCCAACUCGUCGGCCGAGCUUGGCCGAGGAGUACAUUUUGUUGCUGUUGCGUUGGGUGCACGGCUGACUUCUGCAUCUUGCGAUUGCGGCCGAGAAAGGAACACGUCUCGGCCUCUUGGGCUCUCGAACCUGAAGACAAGGUUACUAUUCUUACGAAGUUCAAUAUCAAAUUCGGCUUUCAAUGUGCCGAAUGUAAUAACUGUAACACCUCACUUUGCAGAGAAGGCUGAUGAGAUGACCUCGACCAAUAAGGAUUUAGAAACCCUUCUCGACCGAGACUUGGAUAGGUAAUCAACCGUUCUCGCCGCAGUGCUGUUGAUGCCAACGGAAGAUACUGCGAGAGCGACUAAUUCUACGGUGACAGAGCUAUCUAUGCCGAUUUAAGAUAUCACCGGUUGCUUCCACAAUGCUGUUGAUGCCAACGGAAGAUGUGUCAGCAAAAAAGAAAAAGGAAAAAGAUCUCAAGUUGUUGAGAGUUUGCGCAGGGCAAUUUUGUAUUGAUUUGCAGAGGGCCUAUCUGACGCACAACUUCCCCUAUUUAUAGCAUUGGAUCUUGAAUCCGAGUUAAAAUCCUACUCGGACUAGGUCUUCCUCUCCGGAUCAACACCACCUCGACCAGUCCUAUCUUCACUAGGAUUGUGACCCUAGUCCUUAACUGAGCCAGAUUCGCUUUCUGGGUUACUGAUCCCGCCGAGACUCCCUAUUGUAAUAGGACUCGACUUGCGUUAUGAUCUAACCGACCUAGGCUUGGAAGCCCACGAGCUGAACGAUCCAUGGCCCUCUCGCCGCACGGCCUCCCGGGCCGAGAAUGAUCCUACCCUCGGUCCAAACUAUUAUUUUGGGCCCAAACAACUCCUCACAAGUGUAUUUUUCUUUCCAAAUCUAAAAAGUUUGGAGUAUAUAAUGAGAUUUUUGGACUGCGAAUAACAAUUUCCUUUCGAAAUAGGUACACUAACAGUGGUACACAUUUUGAGUGUAUCAAGCGGGUUUGUAUAUCAUAUUUAGCAUGGGUACAAUUGUUGUCAUAUGUUGCGUAAGCAAGCAUUAACAAUUCAAAUUCAAAAGCCUUUGAGAUAAUACUUCCAGAUUUCAAGGAUAACAACAAAAUAAAAAGGAUAAUGACAAUUGUUAAUGGAAUUGAAAUGCUAAUUCAGAAGGAAAAGAUCUGAUGGAAAAUGACUAAAUUCUCAACGCUUGAAAUAAUGGCAGUGCUUAUAAAUUUUAGAAAAAUGAAAUCAUUUUUUGUAAUCUACUUGGCUCCUCAUAGGGGAAGCAGUUCAAUUUAAAACGCAAAACCUAUAGAUGUUUAAUCAAACAAGUUGGGGGGGGGGGGGGGGGGGGAGGGUGAGGCACUGAUAUCAAAAGCUUCCAAUUGAAAAUUUAGGAGGGAAUGAGAACAUAUGAUUUUUGUCAUAUAUUAUUGGUGGUGUGUAAAAGAAAUAAUGUAGCUCACCAUGGUGCAGGUUACUGUUAAAUAACUACUUAAUUCGCUUAGUCCCUAACAACUGAUAAUAAUAGCGAAAAACACUUUUAAAAAAAAUCAAAUUAUAGAAAAAAAUUUCUCGACUAAUGUCAAUAAUAGUCGAGUGCAGCAAUAUAUAGGUCCUAGGUUUUUCUCUUGAAAACAAGGCUAUUAAAGGAGCCUAUUUAUGAAAACUCCGGCCUCAUUUUGUGUAUAGGGUUCACUCAGAUUGGAUAACUCGCUAGAAUGUUGAAUGAAGAAGUGGAUACGCCCUUGCAUAGUUUGUCCAAGUAAAGGUAGAAGAUGAAUUAGUUGUGACGAAAACUUAUCCCUCCAAAUUCCCUUAAAAUGAUAGGAUGAAAUAGACAAGUUAUUUUCAUGACUAGUUCAUCUUUUACCGGACAAAACAUUCACUUCUUCAUCCAUCAUUCAUUAAAUCCAGUGAACUAUUCAAUCCAAGCGAAUCCUACCCAUCAAACAAGGCACAUUGUCCUAUAAUUCGUUUUAUAUUCCCCCUUCUCAUCAUGUGUGUUGCCAGGUAUAAGUGUUUCAUUUGGCUUUUGGAGUCAACAUUGUACCAUGACUUUUAAAACAUACUAUGUAGAAUUAGUCAAACACUGGAUGGAUCAUGGAAAUGUUAGGUUCCAAACUUAAUCAUGUUUUGUACGAACAUGAAUCUGGUGCCUCGCCACUAAGAUUUCUGCAGUGCGACCCCUCCCAUACGGCAACCUAUCUUGGCUUCUUUCCAAGUUCCUACCCGUCAAACAUUAAUUCAUGACUUGAAUUUUCUCACAGAUAUUUUUUUUCUUUCUCAGCCAGCAGAAGUUUCAAAGAUAUCCUUUUCCUAUCACGCUAUCACCCCUCUGUGUUCACAACUUUUACCACUUUCUAGGUCAAGUAAUUAGUCAAUCUCUAAUGGAGUGUUCCCCCUUCAAUAAGUUAGAUAAAUGGUUUAUGGUUGGUCCAACUACUCGAGCACCUAUGACAUACGAGCAUUGUCUGAACUCAUUUAUUCAGACAAACGUUCGUAUGUCGGACCUACUCGGGGAUUAUACAGGCUUAGCUGCCCUCGUAGUUCAGUGUUACUAUCGCCUUGAUGUGAAAAUUACUUGACACAUAAAUUAAACCCUAUUGAUGACAAUUGUAGCAAAGAUGUAAGUAUGGCUCAUGUCUUUCUUUAAAAAUAAAACGUAUUUCAUUUUACGUGUGCAGAUUUUCCUCAAGUUAUCGAGGACUUAACUCAACCACCAUUGUCACAAGCUCAAUAAAUUAUGAAGAAUCAUUCAAUGAAUUCUCUACAUAAUUGUCUAGUCAGGUUGAUGAAAAUAGGUAUUGCCUAAAUGGUCUUAGCAGCGAAUUCUUAUUUCAAGAAGAUAGUAGUGCUUUGUAUCAUGGUAAGCCUCAAUAUUAUUAUGAUGUACCCAUACAAACUAAAGAGUGUGAAUAUGAUGGUGAGCAAAAAUAUGAUACGGACAAUUACCUUUAUGAGGAAAGUGAUAAUGAUGAUGACAUUGGUGAUUCUGAUACAGACAAUUUCUUAUAUGAUGAGGAUAAUGAUGCAAUGCUUGAAGAUGACAAUUUCAGUGACAAUGUAGAUACAUAGAGUUUCAUUGGAUGCAGUAGGAAACAAAAAACAAAAUAAUAAAAAAACAAUUGGGAAGAUAUACAGGUUGAGAAUUUGAACAUGCAUGAGAAGCAAUAUAACUCAGAUGAGUUACAUUCGCCACUAAAUCUGAUGAAGAAGGACAUGAUCGUAGAUGCAAAGAGUUUAAUGUUAACUGAUAUGGAAAACCCACAAUUUGAUAUUGGGAUGAAAUUUCUAAGUAAAAAGGUGUUAAAGCAGGCUAGACAUAAAUAUGAAGUCGUAAGGUCAUAUAAGUGUAAGGUAAGGAAGAAUGAUAGGAUUAGGUUGUCUGCUAAAUGCAAGCAAGGUUGCAGCUGGAAGUUGUUUGCUUCUGUGAUGCAGGGUGAAAGUACUUUUCAAAACAAGAGCUACAUUCCUGGUCAUUCAUGUUCAAAAGGUUUCUCUAGUAAAAACAUAACUUUAACUUUUCUUUCUGAAAGAUACAUGGGUAGGAUUAAAGAUGAUCCUAAGAUUAAGAAGGCAAACGCUUCAGUUAGAGAUAUUCAGAGACUUGGGAUAUGAAGUCUCAACAAAUCAAAGUUACAAAGCUAAGAGGAAGGCUCUAACUUUGAUUGAGGGGGCUUAUGCUCAACAAUAUGAAAGCUAUGGGAGUAUAGUGAAGAGGUUAGAAAGACAAAUAUAGGCAGCACUAUGAUGAUGAAGGUGGAUCCUCCUUAUUUCCAAAGACAUAAUGUGUGCUUGGAUGCAUGCAAAUAGGGGUUUGUACAUGGUUGCAGACCUUUGAUAGGUGUUGAUGGUUGCUACCAUAAGGGAACAUUCCACGGUAAAGAAUUAAUUUGUAGUUUUAUUUGACAUCAACUCAUGCAGAAGUGGUAUUAAUUUAAUAUAACGUCCAUAUAUGAUAUGUCUAUGCGUGCAUAUUAAUUCAAUACCUUGGCAAGGCAGUUACUUGUGGUAGUGGGAAUUGAUGCAAAUGAAAAUAUGUAUAGGUUCAGUUCGAUGAUCAAGUGUGAUAUGUUGCUGAACAGCUUGUGUGAAAUGGCGGUCAAAUUGCUGCAGUAAAAGCAGCGGAGAAAUGCCUGCUCAUUUACGAUAAAUAUUUCUUAAACCAGACACCAAUGUUAAGAAAGCUCUCAAAGUCGGAUUGUGGCCUGCAAACACGAAUUUUGAAAUCUCAGAUUGCAUUCCAAGCAUGAAAUUUUAUGACUUUGGUUGUACCAAGUGACUAGUGACUACAAUGCACAAGCACAUCUGGAUCACUCCUUACCUGUCAAUUGCAUGAUUAUCGUGAGGAAACACAAUGACUUUGACAGGAACUCCUUUUUCCUUCAGAGCGCGAGAAUACUGUGUAAAGAACAAUAAACAUAUCCAAAUCAUUUUCUACUCACGCCAUUGCAAUUACGCAACCAUUAAAGUAGAAUUGAAGUGCUCAAUGUGUAGUUCAUGAGGACACGAACGUGUUAUCUUACUUGCAACCAAUAGAAAUCGGAAGACGAAUAUCCUGAGCACCCAAAAGAAAGAGGGUGGGUGUUUUGACCUGCAGAGAACAUACGAGCUUGACGAUAGUCCAGAAUAGGCUCACUAAAAUAACAGAAAACAAGCCUAAACAAAAGUUACAAAACACAAACCUUUGAGACAUGUGAAAUAGGAGACAUUCUGUGAAAGAGAGUCAGAUGCUCAGCUGACGGCGCUUCUGUGAAGCUGUUUUUACCCUCACUCCCGUAGGCCUCAACAUAGCACCAAUCGGGAAUGUCUGUUGUACCCACCAUUAGCGCGAGGUUGCAAGCAGGAUUCCUUGUUGCUGCCACAACAAACUUCUCUGGUUCCUGCAGCAUUUCAAUUACAAGAUUAUCGGAUUCAUAAGUACACCUAAAAUCGUGUAUGUUCAUGUAUGCAUAAAUGGGAAAAUUAUCGUCCUUUUUGCAAACUUAACACACCUGGCCAAUCAAGUGGGUUGUGAGAAAGCCACCGUGAGAACCACCAAGAACUGCAACUUUUGACGGACUGGCAAGCCCCACGUCAAUGACAUGGUCUACAGCCGCCAGUACAUCCUUCAAGUCCUGUAGAGAAGAUACUAAUGGAUCAGGGUCUCCGAAUACAAAUCCACACAUUUAAAGUAAAUACCAUCUAAAGUAAAUGCUUAACAAACAUUGUGCAUAUACAGACACAUAAUAUGUAUAUAAUAAUAUUACCUGGGACCCAAUUUUUCCGGGAAGAGACUGAAGUGCUUCUUCACCAAACCCCAGUGAACCUCUGAGAUAAACUCGCAUGUCAGAUCAAUGGAAGCCAAAAGCUGAUUAUAUGAAGCUAAUAUUGAAAAGAGGCAAUUUUUGAAGCAGGGGAUGAUAAAAUGUAAUUUAGCCGAAAAAAUCAGAAUGAAAGGAAAACGGAGAAACACAACUUUCCUGUAAUUUACAAUUAACAAGCUGAAACCAAUCGAAGAGAGAAAUGCUAAGGACUUUGAAAAGCUUGACAAUGAAACAAUAUGUGGGCCUCCAUGAAAGAAUACAAUUAACGGGUUAAGUGCAUCAUUUCUUUUAGUUUUGGAAGACACAAAUAUAGCUUCAAUAGGAUUGGUGGCACCUGAAAGGUUUUAAUCAUAUACAGGAUGUCAAAAUCAAUGAUUUUCCAAGACAUAAGAAAGAAAACUGACUUGUGAUACCUUUUGUUGGGCUAUCAGAAACAUCCCUGAUCGGAAUCUUCAUUAUACUGAACCGAAGAGAUGAGAGCAAAGAUUUAACCUGUAGCAAGGCGAAACUUGAGUAAAACAAAAGUAAGUUUUUAAGAUAAUCACAGUAAUAACACAGUACUACAGACCUUCUUAGGACAUUCAUCUGUGGGGCUUGCUACGUUUAACCGACUCCAUGCAGCAUUUUUACUUUCUUUAUCAAUAAGAUAACCGUACUUGAUAUGGGGUACAUCUACUGGACUGCUAGACACUUCCGAAAUCAAACAAGAAGUGAAUUUUAUUAUUGUAAUUCAGUAAAUUUGUCCAACAAGUUAUCAGUAAAAAAAAGGGAGUUUAUAUUACCGGCAAUGAUAUUGUCUCCGUCCAGUGUAAGAACGCUCCAUGAAAAACUAGAAUUAGGACUGAUUCGUAAUACUUCCCCGCUGUAAUUUCAUAUAAUUGUAUCAUGAUUUAAUUAUAAUAACAAGGUAACAAGAGCACGUCAUAUGAUGAAACCCUAUAGUUACCUCAACACAUUCACAGAAAGUAUCACUUGACAGCUACACCAGAUGGAAGAUAUGAUCAGAACUAUCAGAACUAUCCCCAUUCUGAUGUCCAUUCUGAUGUCCAUCAAACUUGUGUUUAUCAAGGUAUCAAUUUCAGAUGAAAAAGACGUUUAUACUCACUUAACGACUGUUUAACAAAUUACCCUAUAUUCACUAACAAAUAUAAAAACAUGGGCUAAAUUGAAAACACAGUACCAAAUAUAGCAUUAAAGCCAAAACAAUAUUAAUAGUAAUACGUAAUAGUUCAGUUGAAGUUGCAUUAUUGAUUUCAAUAAUCAUAAAUUUUCAAGUACAAUAAUUUUUCAUCCAGAUUACAUAUGCUGAGCAAACGCAAGCCGGAUUCAAUAGUUUUUCAUCCAGAUUCAAGGUGGAUUCAACCUACUUGACUGUAAAUUGUAGAUUGAUUUACGAAAGCUCUCGAAGUCGAACUAUGGGGGUAAAAGCAGGGAAGAAAUGCCUGCUCAUUUACGGUAAAUACUUCUUGAACCAGACACCAAUGUUAAGAAAGCUCUCAAAGUCCGAUUGUGGCCUGCAAACACACAAAUUCGUAUAAGAUGAAAAUCCGAGCAUGAAACUUUAUGAUCUCGCUUGUAGUGACUGGUGACUACAAUGCACAAAGCACAUUUGGAUCAUAAGUUUACCUCUCAAUUCCAUGAGUAUCCUGUGGAAACACAAUGACUUUGACAGGAACUCCUUUUUCCUUAAGCGCCCGAGCAUACUAUGAAUAAUAAACAUCCAAAUCACUUUUCUACUCACAUAAUUCCAAUUAUGCAAACGUCUAUGAAUCAAAAUCAUCACACCCCCUUGGGAGGAAGGAAAACAAUUUAAAAGAUGAAAACUAUAAGAAUAAUUAUCCAAGCACUUGUUUCAUUGUUAAACUAUUAAGGAGAAAAGGUGUAUUUCAUUAGGAGAACAUGUUAACUUACUUGAAAUCCAGUAGAAACUGGAACACGAAGAUCCUGAGCACCCAAAAGAAAAAGGAUGGGUGUUUUGACCUGCAGAUAGAUCCUUCAAAAAGUUACAAAUAGCAAACUUCUUACUAUAUAAAAUCUUUUUAAAUUAUUGAAUUUCUUCGCAAAAAGGAAAUUUAUAGUAUAAGCUUCAAAAUCAAGAGUACGUAAAUAAUAUAGUAACAGAGAAAAAGCUUAAACAAGCACCUUUGAGACGUGUGAAAUAGGAGAUUUGCUGUGCAAGAGAGUCAGAUGCUCAGCAGAAGGUGCUUCUGUGUAGUUAUUUCUACCCUCACUUCCAUAGGCCUCCACAUAGCACCAAUCUGGGAUGUCUGUCGUACCGAUCAUUAAUGCGAGAUUACAGACGGGGUUCCUCGUUGCUGCCACAACAAACUUAUCUGGUGCCUGCAGCAUAAAUAUGUUCAACUCUCGAGUAUAACUAAAAAAUGAUCGUCUACCAAGUGUGCAUAAGUAAUAGAUGCUUCAAAAAAUAAAAAAAAGCAGUACCCCACAAAAAAAAAAAAAAAAAAAAAAAAGCUUAAAGCAAGAAGCCUCAAAGCAACUAAAAAAUAACAGUCAUGCUUUUUACAAAACUACCAGACCUGGCCAAUCAAGUGAGUUGUCAGAAAGCCGCCAUGAGAACCACCAAGAACUGCAAUUUUUGAUGCACUGGCAAGCCCCUUGUCAAUGACGUGAUCGAUAGCCACCAGCACAUCAUCCACGUCCUGUAGUGAAUAAACUCAGAUAUUAGGGUCUACAAAUACAAAAGCAGAUACAUAAAGUAAAUACUAGUUACACAAGUAUAUUAACAACGUAAAUUCUUAGCAUACAUAACCAUAUACAGAUAUAUUUAUGCCAGAGAGUGUGUAUGUCUAUCUGUAUGAUACCAAAGUAGUAUAAAAUGGCCCAACUUGGGGCUCUACAUAAAUAAACAGGUGCUAUAGAAUACGCUCCCCUAAGGAACAAUGCCAUCUCGGAUAACAAAAAUAACAUUGCUGUAAAACAGAUUAAAGGUAAAUAUAUAUAGGUACGCACCUGGGACCCUAUUUUCCCUAGAAGGGACUGAAGUGCUUCUUCACCAAAACCCAGCGAACCUCUGAGAUAAACUAACAUGUCAGAACAAUGCAAGAUAAAAGCCGAUGAAGUUAAAAGAAAUGGUUAUUUCUUUUCAUAUCCAUAGGCCAAUUUCAUAAUAUCUGAACAAGAUUGGAGCACAAUUUUGUUGACCCUGAUAAGAAAAGUCAGAAUGAAAGGACAAAAAGGAGAAUCAUAGCUUACCUAUAAUUUACAAGUAACAAACUGAACCCAAUUGACGAGAGAAAUGCUAAGGACUUUGAAUAGCUUGACAAUGAAACAAAGUGCGGGCCUCCAUGGAGGAUUACAAUUAAUGGGUCAAACGAAUCAUUUCUUUUAGUUUUGGAAGACACAAAUAUGGCUUCAAUUGGUUUGGCAGCACCUGAAAGGUUUUAAGCAUGUACAGGAUGUUAAAAUCAAUUUUUUUUUUUUUACAAACAAAAAAUAAUUGGUUUAUAAUACCUUUUGUUACGCUACCAGAGACAUCCCUGACAGGAACCUUCAGUAUACUGAAUUGCAGAGAGGAGAGCAAAGAUUUAACCUAUGGCAAGUUGAAACAUGAGUUGAACAGAUGUAAGCUUUGAAGAUAAUCUUGAUAUGUGGAAAUAUAGAAAAGCAGAUUAAUGGACCUUCUCAGAGCAUUCACUUGGGGGGCUUGAUACAUUUAACCAACUCCAUGCGGUACUUGUACUUUCUUUAUCAACAAGGUAACCAUAAUUGAUAUGAGGUACAUCUACUGGACUGCUAGACACUUCAGAAAUCAAAGAUAAAGCGAAAUUUCGUUAUUGAUCAGUAAAUUUUUCCUGAGUAAUUAUCAGUAAAAAAUGGCAAUUUCUUUACCAGCAAUGAUAUUGUCCCCAUCCAGUGUAAGAACAUCCCAUGAAUUUGAAUCAGCAGAGCUGAUACGUGAUACUUCCCCACUGUACUUCCAUAUAACUUUCAUAGGUCAGUUAUAAAAAGUUAAAAAGGUAACGACCCCAUGGAGAUACGAGUGUCAUAUGAUUAGUCAUUAUAAUUACCUCAAAACAUUCACAGAAAGUAUCACUUGACAGCUACCCCAGAUAGAAGAUAUGAUCAUUGUGCAUCCAUCAGAAAGCCAUGGAUUACUAAGGAUACUUGACCAGUAAAGCCCAGGGAAGCAACCAUCCUCAGCACAUAACAACAGGAAUCUUCAAAAAGGAAGUGUAUUAAGUGUUGUUAUAUAAGCAGGGAGAGGAUAAAGAGAGAAAAAAUCGUAAAAAAUUUCCUAAACUUAUAUUAUUAUGUUGUGUGAUAUCACCUUCAUGAAAUGAAAACCUUUUGUUGAAGACAAUUAACCUAGAGUUCAAGGGUUCGCUACCCAUGCACAAAAGUACCGCACACCAGAAUAAACAAAGGGAAGAAAACAGGUCAAAGGAAAUUUCUAUAUAUUGAAUUUCAUCCUCAGUGUGUAUGAAUACAACAUCGAAUUUACAAAUCAACUACAAAAGAUACCACUGGUAUAUAGUAGCAACUAGCAAAUAGCAAAACAGCAUCCAACCAAAACAAGUAAGCGAACCACGAUCUUUAAUCCUAACAGUUCUGGAAUGCAAACCCAUAUGAGUUUACACCUUUACAAGGAAACGCUUAAUGCUUACUUAUAAGCACAUGUUAACAAAUGAACCUUUGUUCAUAAUUUACAUGCACAUGGACUCGAACAAAGAAUUCCACAGAACUGAGUAGUUUAAAUUAUCAAUCAGGAAAUAAAAGUUGAUUAGUAAACAGAAAGAUAAAAGCCAGAGAGCUCACCACAUCAACAAUUUUUGCAGAUGAGGAUAGCACUCCAUCCACUGGCCAGUCUAUUCUGUGAAGAGAAUCUGUUGCAGAAUGUGCCCCAGAAUCCACAGAACUUCUAGCCGAUAAAAACAAAAGGAAUUUUCCAUCUGGGCUGCCAAAAUUACGUUGAUCAUGUUUCAAAUACAAUCAGAAUCAGUAAUUGUAAUGAUGUUUGAAACAAUCAACCAUCUAUUGGAUAAUGAAACAAUCAGUACAAUUCCAAUUCAAAUGUUCAUCAAACUUCAAUUAAUAUUAAGAUAUCAAUUUCCGUUUUGCAAUUAAAAGAGAGGCUAUAAACGUCAAAAACUUAUAUCAUAGACUAAAUUUGAGUACUGCAUGAUGUUACAGACCCUGGUAAAGUGCACACGAACACAUAACUAAGUGUCUGAUGGGGGAAAAAGUUACCAGAACCGUGGAUAGAAAGCACUACUUAUGCUUUGAGUCAGCUUUACAGCAGGAAGAUCUUCAGUUGAAUUAGCUCUAGAACAGUGAGAGAAAGUAAUAGUUAUAUCAAAUGUAGAAGCACAAUGAAUUUCCAAAACAAUUAACAAGCAGAAGAUCCAAAAAAACAAUAAGUAACAAUAAGUAUUGCACAAAGCAACUCACUUGAGUUCAGAUCCAUUUGCUUCUGAUUCAAAAUUUGGUGCCUUGACCACAUACAAUGCACAGGGCCUGUUAAAGCAGUACUUGAUACCAAGCUUUCUGAUACCUUCUGACCACCCAACAAAAACCAAAGAUUGAUGCGAGUCUUGAACUGGUGGCGCCCAUACAACUUGACCAACACUCAAAGACUUUUCAAUUCCUUUGACAGCUUGUGCCUCUCCGCUGUACAGCAUAGGAUAAUUAAAGUUAGCCAGGCAUUUAAACGAGAAAUCUCCUUACUUCUAAUCCUGGUAUUAAUAGAAACUAAACCAAUUGUUAAAGACCUGUUAAUAUUGAUGACAAAAAGUGCAGGCUGCCUUUUUCCAGCAUAGGUUUCCCCCCAUUCUUCCUUCCAAUCCCCUUGACCUUUCCAGUUACCAAAGUCCUUAUCCGUGGAACUACUUUUCUUGUAGCCCUGACCUGUAAAUGUGGGCUUGGAGGGAGCUGGUUCCUCAGCAACAUAAGCAACGAGAGUUUCAUCAGCGUUCCAAGAAAUUCCCUGAAACCUGUAUCAUUGAAAAUUUGAACUCUUUUAUGCUGGAGGAAAUCUAGAUAUAUGAAAAGAUUAAUGAUCAAAACAGAGGCGUAAUUCUACUACUAUCACUAAAGGCAUAAAGCACAAAACGUCUAGUACACAAGACUAGCAUCAAAUAUCAUGUAUGACGAUAAUUGGAAAGACUGCAUUCACGAUGUUUACCAUCCAUCAGCAUAAACUGAACCAUGAACAGAUUGGGGAAUGUGGAAUUCUUUCUCCAAUUGACCUUGGCCCCAAAUUUCAAAUUGGCAGGGAGAUUCGUUCAGGAUUCCGAACCACAAAAAGCUUUGCACCGGACGGGGAUGGAACAAAUACAGAUACUCCUGUCAUCUCAACCGGGAACGGGGACCAUUGGAAGUUUACAGAAUUGUUACUUUCUCUUGAAAUAUGAGAGGAUAGAAUGAAUUUCUUCCUCUUGUUUGCCAAAAGAUUCGGUUGACUAAUUGAAAACAUUGCCUGAGACCCAAUUCCUGAAACAAAGUUUAAUGUGCAUGUCCUCAUUAGGAAAAAUUCUUUGGCUUUCAAUUAGAGAGGAAGUACAUGUGUUUAUAUAUUUCCUUACAUAUGUAAUGCACGUAUAUAUGAAUCUGUUGCAUGUAUGUAAGGAUAAGGACGUGCAUGUUAGAAGAAUGAGAAAUUGUACCGCUAUCAGAUUUAAAAAUCCAUGCCUUGUCAAUGCUGGAAAUACUAGUGAAGUCUUGAAGUAACCUAGACUGUGAUGCAUAUUCUUCCUCAGUUGUUGCAUCUACCCCAAGAGGCAUGUCCUUCACUGGACCAUCUUUAGAACUGCCCAUGGCUAAAAGCGUUGACAAUCUUUUACUACAGAGUAGAUUGCAUGGAAGAUAUUGUCAAUUUGUGAUGUCAAAGGACAAAUGAAAUUAUGCAGUAGCUCAUUACUCAAAUGGUCAGUAGCAUUGGUCAUAAAAAACAGCAAAUCUCCUAGAAAGAAAAAGAAAAAAUAAACUAUAUUUUCUUGUUUUUUCCUUUUAAAUGAAUGAGUUUUAGCAUGUCAUUCCUUCAUCAAUCGAAUACAGCAGACGUAUGAUAUAUUCCAAACAAUAGAAACAAGCAAUCCGCAACCUCAAAUUCUACUUAACAUGAAAAAUGAUGCUACUUUUGAUUAUUUUGAUCAACAUCGAUAACAGCUACCUGAAAUUUCUGCAAGUCAAUCUGCCACCUCAAAUUCUACAUAACUUGGAAUUGGCAUAUAGUAUACUCACACAUUUGAUACUACCACAUAGCACCUGUAAGAAUUUCGGCUACAGAAAGUCUUGAGGCCUCUUUCCAGUCAAGGAAAUUGCUCAAUUCAAUUUACACUUGCAAAACCAAAUUAAUACCCAUCGCCAUGAUCCAAUCUAGUAAAAAGGUAGCCGCGAAUUCGAGCACUGUGGACUAAAGUUGGAAUCUUUUUAAGUUGUUCUAUAUGGCCAUUCCAUCAAUCCAGAUUAACAUUAACAAUCGCACACUAGUUCAAGAAUUCAAACGAACAUGUUAUUCAAUUCCAUUCAAAGAUUUCCACUCUACGCAACCAAAAAUAAAUGAAUCAAAGCACCGAGCAAAGUGAGAUGAAGAAAGAAAGGAAGAACUAACAGAUACCCACCAAACAGUUUAGCACAAAAACUUGGAUUCGACGACUAAAAGUCAACAGUGUAACUGUGUAAGUAAGGAGAGUACACAGGUAUAGAUAGGGGAGAGAGAGAGAGAGAGAGAGAGAGAGAGAGAGAGAGAGAGAGCGCCAACUUACAUAGAGAGAAAAUUGCGAAAGGGUCUGCGACUGCUCGUCCUCGGAGUGAGAAGGUGCGAAGGUGAGAUUAAAUAGAAAGAGGAGGAGGGAAUCUUAUACCCAGGACUUAUUCCGUUCAUUUCUGCCUUCUAACAAAAGUGAUGCUCCACCUAAGGCCUACAAUAAAUAGAGUUUUUUAUUAUUUUAUUAUCAAUAAAUUAUAUAUACUAAAACUCAGUUUGAAGUCACUGUUUAUUAACAGUGAUUUGACGAAAUUGUCCCUCGUUUGCUACCUAAUUCUCAGCCUUUUUCCUCUGUUAUACAGUGAAAUCAUGUAUUUACCCCCAUUGUACGCAUGUUGGUUAUCGUGGAAGGAAAUGAGGCUGGAUGUACGCGUGUUAGCCAUCUGGGAGGGGAAGCAAGUGUUGGGGAUGGUGCAAGCAUGUUCUUCUCUCUCUCAGAUCUCUCGAGCUCUCUCAAAUGUUUCAAUAACUUUUCCAUUUGCUUCCCUUUUAUCUCAACCUGAAACCAACAAAUCCCAAAAACCCUCGAGCCCUCCAACAAAAUCGGAAAAAAACACCAUCUUCGCCCAAAAUUUUGAAUUUUCUCAAGAAUUCUCGCAUUUUCCUGAGAUUUUUUUCUAUGGGCUUUGGUAGCAGAUGAAGAUCGAUGACAGUGAUCGGAGUUCGUCACAUGACAUUGUGGUAAGCUAUUGAAUCUAAUUGGCGAUUUUUUUUGUAUGAUUGUUUGUUAUUGGGAUUUGGGACGUUGGGAAUAAUUUGUUUGGUUUUUGUGUGGAUGCAGCUCGGCAACGAACAAUUUGAUCACAUCCUGAGUUUUCCGACUAAUUUAUUCAAUUGGAUCGGUUCUGAUUUUGUCCCUCCAUAGCAUCUGCAGCACUAUCUGCCUUGCUUUCGUCACAGCUUGGCUUUCGGUUCCUCAGGUAAAGUUUCCACCUUUUUUUCUUUAGGAAAAUAACAAAAAUUCCAAAUUUAUUGAAUUAUUUAGUGAUUUUCUAUUGAGUUUUUUCUUAAAACUUUUAAUAUAAAUUUUUUGAAUUGGAAUAGGGGGAAUGGUGGAUGUGAGAGUUUCUUUUACAGCAGUUCAAAGGGAGAGCUUGAGAGAUAGUGGACUCUUCCCCUAUUCCUCCACAAUCGCUUUUACCAAUUUCCAAGAACACAUUAAAUUCCCUCAAAAUAUAAGCCGAGGUAUGGAAAAGCUUCGAAUUCCUUGGUUUCCUCCAAUUAGUAUGCAGAACUCUCAAAAAAGAAAGUAGUGAGGGUUGAAUUUCUACUCUCAUAUAUACACAGAUAGAUAUGGAAAAGCUUAGAAUGGUGAAGUGAGGGUUCAAUGACUUAUUACUCAUUUUGGUCUAUUUAAAUAAAGUUCUCUGAUUGGUUUGAUUUGUGUUGUGUACAUUUACUUCUUGGGUAUAUUUGUGUUUUUGGACUUAUUUGUUUCUGUAUCGGUUGCUGACAUAAUGGAUAGGGUGCCAAAAAGAGAGGUGGCAUUAGGAAUAAUGGCUUUUUUGAGAGAAUUAGAGUUUGAUCUCUUCAUUUGGGUUGUGCAUAUUUCGUUUGAUCUCUUACUUUGGGUUGUGCAUAUUUCAUUUGAAUUAAUUUGGGUUGUGAGGAAGUGAAUAAUUAUUUGAAUUAAUUAAUUAAUUUCUCUUGGGUUGUGCAUAUUUCCUUUGAACUAAUUUGGGUUGUGUUUAAGCAUUGUACAUGCAUGAACGUGGGUAAAGAGUAUGAGGAUAAAGGGAAGAGAAAAUGUUGUGAUCAUCCACCUCAAACGAUUUGUUGAGGUAUUUUUUGUACCUUUUUUUUGUUUAAAAUUACAUGUUUUUCAUAUGUUAGGAGUAUGUCAUCGAGGAAUGUUAGUGCCUCUUUAUUCAAUUUUUUCUUUAUUUAAAUAUAUAUGUGUUUAGAAGUGUAAAUUUGUAUAAUUGAAUCUUUGCUCCAAUUUUAUAUUUCAUUUUUUGUGACUUUCUGCAGAACUUGGAAUCAGCUUUUCACAUAACAUGGAUGAUGAAUAUAAGAAACUCAUACACAUAAUUACUCCACCAAGGUAUAUACAAAUUAAAAUCAUAACUUGCGUCAAUAUAGAAAAAAUUAUUUUUUAGCACACAAGUUUGACAUAAUAAUUUUUCUCAUAAUUUAUAAAUUAUUGUACAGAUUUAUGCUACCUGGCAAUCAACGACUAAUAUUACUUUCAAGAAGGCAAGACCAACAUAUGACAUGUCACAUCGGCAUAUUUUUCACAAACAGAUGGUAAAAUUGUACACAUCACUUAGACAAGUUUCAAUCUUUUUUGCUUCCAUUGUAACACAUUUCUAAUUAACAUUUCGUACUAAAUUUUGAUUAAACUUUAUUUAAAUGUUUGAUUUCAGAAUUUCACAAGUCGAAUUACCACCUUAAUAAUAGGAAAAAAAUACAUUUGAUCUCCGGUUAUAAGGUGACCUCACCUCUCUCUCUCUCUCUCUCUCUCUCUCUCCCUCCCUAAACUCAAUUUUGAACUUUUUAUGCAUAUUUUUUUUUGAAUCAUUGGCUGUCUUUAUUAUUUUUGUGGUUGUAUUCACAAUUGUCCAAGAGAGUACAACAAAAGGUCAAUUUUUCCAUUGGAAGCACCUCAAGUUAGGAACAAGUCUGUUAUCCAAUUACAUUCAUGGCAUAUAACACUUGAAAGGUCAAUUUUCCAUUGGAAGCACCUCAAGCUAGGAACAAGUCUGUUAUCCAAUUACAUUCAUGGCAUAUAACACUUGAAAAAGCUAAUGAUGUAUUUCAACAUUGUUUAGCAUGUAGCAAGCUUUGUUUGACUGAUAUACUCAAUACUGCAUUUGUAAUUUUAUCAUUGGUCCAACUUUUUGAAUAAACAAUUUCUCUUUCUUUGCACUUUGAAAAAAUGGAUUUUUAUAUUUUUUGUUAGUAUCUAAAUUUGUUCCGUUCAUGAUAAGGUUUAGCAAAAUAUCUCAUAUGAUUUUCAAUCCCGCAGCAUCGCGCGGGUGCAAAUUUCUAGUAUAUUACUAUUCAUUGAGAAGAAAAUGAAUAAAAAGAAAAGGCAUUUUUUUUAUUUCCAUCCCAAACAAUGUUGAAUACACCCCACAUUUAUAAUAACUCAUAAGCCCUAAUAUGCACCGACAAUUUUGACCUAAUUAAAUAUACAAAUGGAACACCACCGAAAAAAGGAAGACAUGGCCGGCCACCACCGGUUAACACUACUCUAUCUGGAUGGGAAUGAACAAAGCUUCCCAUUUGGGGAUUAAGGACAUUUGACCAUCUCGUAUUGCGCUGAACCCCAUAGGUGUUUGUCAUAGCAAUAGAAGCAAGGGCAAGUAGGAUGGUGAAACAAUCCAUUAUGUGGGUAAAGCCCAUAUGCAUCAGGAUUGUUUUCAACAUAAUGUUUAGAAAAGUAUGGAAGCGACGGUUGCUCGUAUUGCUAGGAAAGGGAUGAGGAGCUCCACUGUGCAUGUGGGACCCAAAAGGAUCGCCAUAUCUAGGAUAGUUGUUUGAAAUAGCACAUAACAUUGUGGAUUGUCUGUAUAAAAUAUGGAGUUUAUGUUGAGAGUGUAGUGUGUGAGGAUAUUAUUGGAAGUAAUGUGGGGAGUAUUAAGAUAAAUUUUAAUUGAAAAAAUAAAUAUGAGGUGUAUUAAAUAUGUGAGGUGUAUUCAACAAUAAAUUGGGUGUUAAUAAAACAACCCAAAGAAAAUAAAAUAGACUAAAAAAUAAAAAAUCUUUCAAUUCUCAAAUAAGAGAAGAAUAUAAUAGAUCAUACUUUCAUAUAAUAUCUUAAUUGAAUCAUAUGAAACGAUCAAUAAAUUCAGUUUCAUUUGAGAGUUUGUGAGGACCAACUCUACCUCAAUCAUAGAAUUUUAUUAAGAGAUGAUUAGAUUGGGCUGCUUAAAUUUUACAUUGUUUUGAUUAAUAUAUUUCUGCAAAUUAAAAUUCUACAUAUUGAAUUCUGAAUUUAUCCUCCUCUAUGGGAGUUUUUCUCUUUCUUUUUUCCUAGCAUGGCCUUUUAUUCAGGGAUAUUUAUUUUAAGGAUGACUUUGGAUGCGAUCCUUAUUUAUCAACGUUAUUUGAUUGAAACCUUGUUGGUUUUCGAUUUUUGAUUGAAAUCCCUAAAAUUAAUGCAAUAAUGCAUUUUCAUGUAGGCUAUUAUAAUAUUUAAAUUAAAAUUUGAUAUUUGUGGUUAUUUAUAUUAAUGAGAUUUUAAAUAAAAUUCAUAAUUUGUUGAAAAUAUUGAAAGAAAUUAUACUUAAAUAAAACCCAUGAUUUGUCAUUACUUAUAUUAAUGACAAUUUACAUACAAAAAAUUGGUAAUUUUUAUACGAUGCAUUUUACAUACAAAAAGUUGGUAUAUUUUAUACAACAAAAAGGUGAUACGUUUUAUAUAAUGGAUAGAUUUCAUAUAUAUAUAUAAAAAAAAAAAACAAUGGGUACAUUUUACACAAAAGAGAUGGUACUUA
rnacentral:lncRNA from 1 species